AGGUACUUGGUCUUCUGGACGUCGAAGAAGGUGAAAGGUCCAAGGAAGAGUGUGAAGACAGCCUGGGGGGGAAAGCAGCAGUGAGGAAGGAUGGAGAAGGAGAUGUCAGGUGGAAGAAUAAAUACAAAGCCACUUGCCACACAUUUCCAAGUAACUGAAGCCUGCAGUUAUAUGUUAGUGCUUCUCCCUGCCCUGCCCUGCCCCGCCCCACCUUGCUGGUGGACGAUUCACCUCUGACCUAGGAACGGAAACACAGAUCACACUCAGUCACCUUAACAGGCCAGAGUUCCAAAUAUGGCAGGGCACGGCUCCCCACGGCACAGAGCAGCACAGCGCCCCCCACAGGACGAAGCCACAUGCAGCACAUAUAGGGUUGGGGCUGGAGUCACGUUUCCCUAGCUUCUGCCAGAGCUGUCCCAAAGGAGAAUGCGUGAGUAAACGUCAACAUCACAGCCCAGAAGAAAGAAAGGCAGCUUGGAACCUGUCACCAGCUCUCUCUGUACAUUUAAACCAGAAGAGUAAAAUGGAAAGCUUUAAGUUUGGUCCAAAGGCAGCCCCCUGAAAAGGCUGCCACCUGCCUGUCAGUCACUGCCACUGUCAGCGCCACUGUCCUAGCCGUCUGUCCUUCCUCCCAGCCUCGUCCUACGAAAGUCAUCGAGUGGUGACACCAAUGUGGCAGGCCUUUCUGCCUCCGUAAAGGGCUCACAUAUGGUUCCAUUUCUCUCUCACACCGGCCUGGGAAGCCACCUGAGCAGGUGGCAAUGUCCUCGUUGUAUUGAUGAGGAGAUAGAGGGACCGCAGAGGUCAGUGACAGAAUGAGAAAGCAGAGCAACACGGGUGCCUGCAGUUCCUUCUCAGCCCUGCCUCCCAGGGGAGGAGCCCCCAAUUCUGCCUCCCAAAGGCAGCACCCUUGGGUGUACAUACGAGAUGGCGGGGGAAGUGUCAAGGCAACGCUCAAGUGUUGUCCUUCCUACUCAGGGCUGGGAGGUGCAAGACUGAAGGAAGGUUAUCUUAUUAUUAUUAUUGUCAGCUGUGGGGCUUGAACUCAGGGCCUGGGCGCUGUC